GGAAUCUUAGACAAUGGGCGCAAGCCUGAUCUAGCCAUGCCGCGUGAGCGAUGAAGGCCUUAGGGUUGUAAAGCUCUUUCACCGGGGAAGAUAAUGACGGUACCCGGGGAAGAAGCCCCGGCUAACUCCGUGCCAGCAGCCGCGGUAAUACGGGGGGGGCAAGCGUUGUUCGGAAUUACUGGGCGUAAAGGGUUCGUAGGUGGCCUGCUAAGUCAGACGUGAAAUCCCUCAGCUCAACUGGGGAACUGCGUCUGAUACUGGCGCGCUUGAGUGCAGGAGAGGAACGCGGAAUUCCAGGUGUAGCGGUGAAAUGCGUAGAUAUCUGGAGGAACACCGGUGGCGAAAGCGGCGUUCUGGACUGUUACUGACACUGAGGAACGAAAGCCAGGGGAGCAAAC
rnacentral:rRNA from 1 species